rnacentral:misc_RNA from 1 species
GUAGCUAACGCGUUAAGUAUCCCGCCUGGGGAGUACGCACGCAAGUGUGAACUCAAAGGAAUUGACGGGGCCCGCACAAGCGGUGGAGUAUGUGGUUAAUUCGAUGCAACGCGAAGAACCUUACCAGGACUUGACAUGUCGCGAAUCCUUUGAAAGAAAGGAGUGCCUAGGGAGCGCGAACACAGGUGGUGCAUGGCUUCGUCAGCUCGUGUCGUGAGAUGUUGGGUUAAGUCCCGCAACGAGCGCAACCCUCGUGUUUAGUUGCCAUCAUUAAGUUGGGAACUCUAAACAGACUGCCGGUGACAAACCGGAGGAAGGUGGGGAUGACGUCAAGUCAGCAUGCCCCUUACGUCCUGGGCUACACACGUACUACAAUGGUAGGGACAGAGGGCAGCCAACUCGCGAGAGUGAGCUAAUCCCGUAAACCCUGCCUCAGUUCAGAUUGCAGGCUGCAACUCGCCUGCAUGAAGGCGGAAUCGCUAGUAAUCGCAGGUCAGCAUACUGCGGUGAAUCCGUCCCGGGCCUGUACACACCGCCC